rnacentral:rRNA from 1 species
GUUUGAUCCUGGCUCAGGAUGAACGCUGGCGGCGUGCUUAACACAUGCAAGUCGAACGAUCCUUCGGGAUAGUGGCGGACGGGUGAGUAACGCGUGGGAAUCUGCCCUCAGGAGGGGGAUAACGGCUGGAAACGGCCGCUAAUACCCCAUAUGCCGAGAGGUGAAAUGAAUUUCGCCUGAGGAUGAGCCCGCGUCUGAUUAGCUAGUUGGUGGGGUAAAGGCCUACCAAGGCAACGAUCAGUAGCUGGUCUGAGAGGAUGAUCAGCCACACUGGGACUGAGACACGGCCCAGACUCCUACGGGAGGCAGCAGUGGGGAAUUUUCCGCAAUGGGCGAAAGCCUGACGGAGCAACGCCGCGUGAGGGAUGAAGGCCUCUGGGCUGUAAACCUCUUUUCUCAAGGAAGAAGACCUGACGGUACUUGAGGAAUAAGCCACGGCUAAUUCCGUGCCAGCAGCCGCGGUAAUACGGGAGUGGCAAGCGUUAUCCGGAAUUAUUGGGCGUAAAGCGUCCGCAGGCGGCCUUGUAAGUCUGUUGUUAAAGCGUGGAGCUCAACUCCAUUUAAGCAAUGGAAACUACAAGGCUGGAGUGUGGUAGGGGCAGAGGGAAUUCCCGGUGUAGCGGUGAAAUGCGUAGAUAUCGGGAAGAACACCAGUGGCGAAGGCGCUCUGCUGGGCCAUAACUGACGCUCAUGGACGAAAGCCAGGGGAGCGAAAGGGAUUAGAUACCCCUGUAGUCCUGGCCGUAAACGAUGAACACUAGGUGUCGGGGGAAUCGACCCCCUCGGUGUCGUAGCCAACGCGUUAAGUGUUCCGCCUGGGGAGUACGCACGCAAGUGUGAAACUCAAAGGAAUUGACGGGGGCCCGCACAAGCGGUGGAGUAUGUGGUUUAAUUCGAUGCAACGCGAAGAACCUUACCAGGGUUUGACAUCCUGCGAACCCCUGAGAAACCGGGGGGUGCCUUCGGGAGCGCAGAGACAGGUGGUGCAUGGCUGUCGUCAGCUCGUGUCGUGAGAUGUUGGGUUAAGUCCCGCAACGAGCGCAACCCACGUCUUUAGUUGCCAGCAUUCAGUUGGGCACUCUAGAGAGACCGCCGGUGAUAAACCGGAGGAAGGUGUGGAUGACGUCAAGUCAUCAUGCCCCUUACAUCCUGGGCUACACACGUACUACAAUGCUACGGACAAAGGGCAGCAAGCUCGCGAGAGUUAGCAAAUCCCAUAAACCGUGGCUCAGUUCAGAUCGUAGGCUGCAACUCGCCUACGUGAAGGAGGAAUCGCUAGUAAUCGCAGGUCAGCAUACUGCGGUGAAUACGUUCCCGGGCCUUGUACAC